CCUACGGGUGGCAGCAGUAGGGAAUCUUGCACAAUGGACGAAAGCCUGAUGGAGCAACGCCGCGUGAGGGAAGAAGGGUUUCGGCUCGUAAAGCUCUGUUGGUAGAGAAGAAAGAUAGAGGUAGUAACUGGCCUUUAUUUGACGGUAAUUACUCAGAAAGUCCCGGCUAACUACGUGCCAGCAGCCGCGGUAAUACGUCGGUGGCAAGCGUUGACCGGAUUUAUUGGGCGUAAAGCGAGUGCAGGCGGUUCAAUAAGUCUGAUGUGAAAGCUUUCGGCUUAACCGGAGAAUUGCAUCAGAAACUGUUGUACUUGAGUACAGGAGAGGUAAGUGGAACUCCAUGUGUAGCGGUGAAAUGCGUAGAUAUAUGGAAGAACACCAAUGGCGAAGGCGGCUCUCUGGUCUGCAACUGACGCUGAGGCUCGAAAGCGUGGGUAGCGAACAGGAUUAGAUACCCUGGUAGUC
rnacentral:rRNA from 1 species